AGACUUUGAUCCUGGCUCAGGAUGAACGCUAGCGGCAGGCUUAACACAUGCAAGUCGAGGGGCAGCGGGGUGUAGCAAUACACUGCCGGCGACCGGCGCACGGGUGCGUAACGCGUAUGCAACCUACCCAUAACAGGGGCAUAACACUGAGAAAUUGGUACUAAUUCCCCAUAACAUUCGAAGAGGCAUCUCUUUGGUGUAA
rnacentral:rRNA from 1 species